UACGGGGGGGCAAGCGUUGUUCGGAAUACUGGGCGUAAAGGGCUCGUAGGCGGCCAACUAAGUCGGACGUGAAAUCCCCAGGCUCAACCUGGGAACUGCGUCCGAUACUGGAUGGCUUGAAUCCGGGAGAGGGAUGCAGAAUUCCAGGUGUAGCGGUGAAAUGCGUAGAUAUCUAGAGGAAUACCGGUGGCGAAGGCGGCAUCCUGGACCGGCAUUGACGCUGAGGAGCGAAAGCCAGGGGAGGCAAACGGG
rnacentral:rRNA from 1 species